rnacentral:rRNA from 1 species
UACGUAGGGGGCGAGCGUUGUCCGGAUUUAUUGGGCGUAAAGAGCUCGUAGGCGGUUUGGUAAGUCGGGUGUGAAAUCUCCACGCUCAACGUGGAGGGGCCACUCGAUACUGCCAUGACUCGAGUCCGGUAGAGGAGUGUGGAAUUCCCGGUGUAGCAGUGAAAUGCGUAGAUAUCGGGAGGAACACCAGUGGCGAAGGCGGCCUUCUGGACCAGUACUGACGCUCAUGCACGAAAGCGUGGGGAGCAAACAGG